GACGAACGCUGGCGGCGUGCCUAACACAUGCAAGUCGAGCGAAGAACUUCGGUUCUUAGCGGCGGACGGGUGAGUAACACGUGGGUAACCUGCCUCAAAGAGGGGGAUAGCCUCCCGAAAGGGAGAUUAAUACCGCAUAAUAUUAGAUCUUCACAUGGAGAUUUAAUUAAAGGAGUAAUCCGCUUUGAGAUGGACCCGCGGCGCAUUAGCUAGUUGGUGAGGUAACGGCUCACCAAGGCGACGAUGCGUAGCCGAACUGAGAGGGUGAUCGGCCACAUUGGAACUGAGACACGGUCCAGACUCCUACGGGAGGCAGCAGUGGGGAAUAUUGCACAAUGGGCGAAAGCCUGAUGCAGCAACGCCGCGUGAGUGAUGAAGGCCUUCGGGUUGUAAAACUCUGUCUUUGGGGACGAUAAUGACGGUACCCAAGGAGGAAGCCACGGCUAACUACGUGCCAGCAGCCGCAGUAA
rnacentral:rRNA from 1 species